rnacentral:rRNA from 1 species
GACGAACGCUGGCGGCGUGCCUUACACAUGCAAGUCGCACGGAGUGUUUAUUUAUAAACACUUAGUGGCGAACGGGUGAGUAACGCGUAGACAACCUACCCUCUAGAUGGGGACAACACCGCGCAAGUGGUGCUAAUACCGAAUGUUGUAAUGUUAUUGCAUAAUGAUCUUACUACAGGUGGCAUCUAUAUAAAAGAUACCGCUAGAAGAUGGGUCUGAGUCUGAUUAGCUAGUUGGUGAGAUAACAGCUCACCAAGGCAAUGAUCAGUAGCCGGGCUGAGAGGAUGAACGGCCACACUGGGACUGAGACACGGCCCAGACUCCUACGGGAGGCAGCAGUGGGGAAUCUUCCGCAAUGGACGAAAGUCUGACGGAGCAACGCCGCGUGAGUGAAGAAGGUUUUCGGAUCGUAAAGCUCUGUCUUCAAGGACGAAUGUAGAUAUUGUGAAUAAUGAUAUCUAAUGACGGUACUUGAGGAGGAAGCCACGGCUAACUACGUGCCAGCCGCCGCAGUAA